UGAACGGCUAGGAUUUUGCAUGGUACAUGUGGCACCACUCUGCUUGCUUUGCUUUCUCCCUGUCCCACAUGGAAACAAAUACAGUUGCACACCUCCUCAGAAUAAAACACCCACUGCAUCAUGUCCAAGGGCGUGCAUGUAGCUGUUAGAGGCUUUAGUGCUGGACUAAGCUCUGGCAGCCCUUUUUUCACAUUUGCAAUCAUUCUCUUGCUCCCAUCUACAGAAUGUAAGGACAUGGGAAAGAAAGAUAGAAGGGAUGGAGUUUCUGAUUCAGGGUUGAUGUCUGGGGCCUUCAUUGCUGAUGACAGCCACGAACCCAAGGACUUGUUCGCUGGUGGUAGUUUUUUCAAAUGGAAAUGACUGAGAGAUGUGCUGGCAGCUGAAGAAAGGACUCCUCUGACAGCGAUCUUGCGAGCCUGGUUUUAGAUGUCUGUUCUCAUCAGGGAAAUCUAAAACCUCCUAGAUUGAAUUGCAGCUACCCUCUCUCGCCUCUGCCUUCUUCCUUGCUUGUGUCUCAGCAUAGCUCCACUUCCCUACGUGUCAGCUCUGUAAAUAUUUAGAUGGCAUUUCCUGUAGAAAGCCUUGCUGAUUCACAACAGCUCAUUGAUGAACUUUCAGGUCUAUAUUUGGAACUGCCACUCAGGAUUAUUAUUUUAACCAAUAUCAUGUGACAUCUUGGAGCAGUAUUUGUAUUUACCACGAAGAGAAAUAAUUCAUCCAUCUAAACGUUCUUGGCCUGGAUAUUGUCGUCUGCAGCCUGACUGUAUUGUUACCACCCUCAUACGAAAGAAGCUCUCGAAUGGACUUCCCUGAAGGAGGCCUUGUGUAUGAAUGGACAAGGGAGAGAGGAACGGUAGUGUUACAAAGAAAAGACCCUCUCAUGAGUUCAGAGCUGAAACUUUCCUUUCAUUAUUGGGAUGAAAUGAAGACAGGAACCUGUUGUCACAAUAACCUGAUACAGAUGAACAAAAGUGAACGAAAAUGUUCAAAAUAGGGGCUUUUUUAUAGGUGAUGUAGAUAUUGUGGGCCUGAAUAUUAACGUAUAUACAGUAGAGCAAACAUUCUAUAAACUGUGUAAGAGGCCUGGACAAAAACAUACUUUUGAACAUGAAUGUUAAAUUAAACUAUCUGCCCUGUCUACCUCACAGUGCUCUGUCUAAGCUUUAUCAAGGUGGAAAGUUUUUAAUGAAUGAACAAUUUUAACAAAAUGUUUAAUGAGAGUAAUAAAGUAUAGGAACAGCUACAUGAAAUUUUGCGUGACAAGUAAUAUAUUUUCUAUUACUUUUUUGUUAUUAUUAUUAACAGGAAAUAAGAAUUAUACAAGAUAGGGUAUUUUUUGCCUAAAUAGUUUAAACUUAAAUUAGUUUUCAUUGAAUGUUUCAAGUCAGAGAAAUGAGUUUCCCAUUUAACUGUAAAAAAUGUUAUAUUUGACUGGAUGAAAAAUUUACAACGUGUCCUGGCUGUUUAAUUCAGUGAUACCCGUUUAUUAAAAAAAACUUCC